rnacentral:rRNA from 1 species
AUUGAACGCUGGCGGCAGGCCUAACACAUGCAAGUCGAACGAGUGGCACGCGUGUGAGUUAUUUCUGGGAAACUCCCCUAUGGAGGGGUAAAUCUUCUGGCCACUGUAGCUUAUACCCCAUACUCUCGGCUGUCCCCAGAGGGGAUUCGCUAGUAGGUGGGGUAAUGGCUCACCUAGUCGACGAUCCCUAGCUGGUCUGAGAGGAUGACCAGCCACACUGGAACUGAGACACGGUCCAGACUCCUACGGGAGGCAGCAGUGGGGAAUAUUGCACAAUGGGCGCAAGCCUGAUGCAGCCAUGCCGCGUGUAUGAAGAAGGCCUUCGGGUUGUAAAGUACUUUCAGCGAGGAGGCGUUACUCGCAGAAGAAGCACCGGCUAACUCCGUGCCAGCAGCCGCGGUAAUUC